rnacentral:lncRNA from 1 species
UUCACCAAGCACCCCCACCCCCCAUCUCAAAGUCGAGAAAAUGAAAAUGAUCGCGGAAAUUAUCUCCAAAGCUAUGACAAAGUCAUUGAAGUUGGAAGAAAAUUGCUUAUUGGAACACAUAUUUGGUUUAAAAAUUUGAAAACAAAAUGAAAAAUGAAUCUAAAAUGAAAGUGAGGGUGAAAUGGAGAACUUAUAGCAGCCAUGGGAGUGAGGGGGAAACAGAAAAUGCUGCAAAACAAAAAAAUGGGUAAAAAUAAUUUCUUGACGAAACUCCAUGUUUUUCGAUAAGCUUAGUAUGAAUUUGAAAUUACUUUCUUUAAAAUUAUUGAAAAAUUCAAAGAAAGUGUGCAUAAAAGAUUAUAUUUGAAAUUAAUUUGAAAAAAA